rnacentral:lncRNA from 1 species
UAAUAAAGAGGGCAAGUUGGCAGUCUACAAGGCAGCUGAAACCUCAUGGAGAGGGAUGCAGAUUCCUAGUCUCCCUCCUCUACUGCUGGUGGGUCGGUCCAAGAUUAUAGCAGCUGUGAUGGAGAGCGUGAUCACCAAGCCCUGAUUUCAGCCAUGUGAGUCGGACAGCUCCAACGAGUCAUGUGAAUUGGUAAAGAUCAAAUGUGGAUGGAGUUAAGUUUCUGGCUUUCUGGUAUAGGUCAUGUGAUUACGGACCACGCGGUUGCAGCUGACAAACAGAGGAGGCCGGUUAUACGUAUGGAUCAGGCAAACCAUGUGAAAGCUCUACCAAAUUUGUUGGGGGCUACCUGUGGAUGUUAUAAUUUAUUUUCUUUUAUGACUUCAUUUGGCAUUUAGAUUCGAGAACG